CUUUCUUCGUGGAGAUCGAGAGAAAAUAAAACCUAAAAAAAAAUCAUCUUCCUUCUUCUCCUUUAUUCACCCAAAAAAAAAUCUUUCUCCAUCGCGAUGGUUCAUUCUUCGCGUCUCUUUUCUUCUCCGUCGUUUCUUCUUCUCGAUUGUCUCUGUUUUUUUUAAUUACUAUUGAUUUAUUUUUGUUUUUCUGUCGCAGGUGAUAUACUUUGAUGGGAAUCUGUAAAAGGGGUCUAAUUAGGUACGAAAAAAUUAUGGUAGCAUAGAAGGGAAACUCACAACAUAAACACAGAUAUAAGACAAUUGCGUCAUUGGGGCUAUGGAGGAGAAAGGCAAUUACGUAACCAUUUCCGGUGGUGGUCGGCAUAAUGCCACAAUAAAAGCUUGAACUUUAUAAAAGAUGAUCCAUGAUUGGGAGGGAUUUUCGAUCUCUGGCACUCACAAUUUGUUCCAGCACAAAAAUUGUAACUAGCAUUCCUUCCCAGUCUUCAUGGUUAACGCAAGCCAACAGUGGUUCAGAUGGACGAUAUGUCGAGGGGUAGAUCCAGAUGACAAAUCACAUGUUGAGGGAACCGAAACUCACACGGUGGUUCCUAAAAAGCACUAUUUGGAAGUUCAAAUCACUGCUCUGCGGGGUUAGAGAUUCUGCGGAUUACCUGUGUAAAGUUGAUGCAAUCAAGUGUGAUUUUGGGGUUAAUGGAUUUAACUCUUACAGCAACACAUACUUUAAUGCUUGAUCCAGGGUAUAACCUUCUCUCUUACAACAAUCAAGAUGUAUUCAUUUUGUUCAUGUGCUUAUUAUCCGAAUCCCAUGUCUCUUCUCCUCAGACUGUACAGAGAUGAAGGUGAACUGUCAACUGGAGAGUUACAAAUGAUAGGCAUAUCCCUGCAACAUACAAUGAACCAAUGCAUAAGUUCCCUCCAUGUAGAGUGCACGGUGUUGUUAAGGCAAGUAAAUGGGAUGCCUCAUGAGGGACAUCAGAUUGUGGUACACAGGUAGGUGAUCGAAUAAGAAAAUGUAUAUUAUAUGGAAACACAUGUCCAGCAGGGACAAUGAGUUUAUUUCGACAAGAAUAUGGUAUUUGCCUUCCUCGAGCUGCAAGUAUUAAGUUUACUCUUCUCUGAGAAAUUUGAUAGAACUAACUUCACAUUGAAGCUUUAGAUAGUUGACUUUUCUAAUAUUUCGCUAAAAUAUUUGCAUCUUAUGUUAUAUGAUUUGAGAUGGGUAAUCCCUGGAAAGCAUGCUAAAUGAGCCUGUUCUGUGAUUACUUUCUGACUUUCUGUGUUUCAGUAAUUUGUAUUACAUGAAAUGUUGUGAUGUAUAUACAGUCUUAGCAUAUUCGAGGCACAAUAACUUCAAAAGUGAUUUUGAGGAAAAAGGAUGGAUGGAGAGAGUUGGUAUCUGCUAAAAUUCUCUUCUUAAUUAAAAUUCUUAUAUAUACUUUUUUGAGGUAAUUUUGCAUUUCAUAAUUCAUAUGCUUUCCUCUUUUCCAUGUUCGCACGAUCUCAUUCAAGCAAUAACAAAUAAAGGCUUUAGUGUAGUGGUUAUUUGUCGCCCGGAUCCGUUGUGGUGCUAUUUAUUUUUUGUACCUUUAUUAGCUGCUGGGGUGGUUGAUGAUGGCGUCAAAUUAUGACAGGAACAAAAUGGAAUUUACUAUUGCAAUGGGAUUCAGGUAUUUCCCAUAUAACCAGGCAUUGGGUGGUCAUAGAUCAAGCUACAGUAGUGAUAAAAUCAAUCAGAAGAAAUAUAGAAGUUGUUGCAGGUGGAUUAAUAAAUAACAAGAGAAGCUGAAGAGUAAGAGGAUGAGGAUGAGAACCACAAUUUUUAAGAGCAGCAUCAAAGUGAACCUAUGAAAUUCAGAGAUCAGGUUAAGAAAGUAAGAUCCAUUAUAAUUCAAAAAUCUAAGUUGCGCAAACACAUCGAUUUAGCAUUUGCGGGAAGAAACUUCCAACAGGUCAAGCACCUGGAGGACAUGUAAGACACAUCACAAUGGAUUUAGCAUUAACAUUAGUGGUAGACAACACCCUUCGUCCUCCAUCAAGUAGCUCAUCACUACUAAUAGUUGUACAACUGCUAAUACAGGAGGUGGUCAUCAAGUGGUGCUUGAUUUCGAUCUAAAUGAACCGCCGGUGAUGGAAGAGUAAGAAAGUAAUAGAUCUAAUUGUGAACAGUGGGGUUAUAUAUUAAGUUUAAUUCAAAAAUGCAAUUACAUGUGUCGUUGUCCUGAUAACUUUAAUGUAUGUGUUGUCAUUUAUGCCAUUUUUAUGUUCGGAGCCACACAUAGCGUGGAUGUAAUAUUUGUAAUUUUUAUGUGAUACUUUGUUUAUACA